CAGCUUUUGGGAUCGGCGGUCGGGAAGAGCAGGUGGGGUGCGGGAGGCGGAGGGGAGGAGGGGUGAGGGAGGGGAGGGUGCGGCUGCGGGAGUUAUGCGGCGGUCCGGCAGCUGUGCGGCCCUUAUCCGUCGCUACCUCGCGUCGGGCUCGGGUCGUCUUCAGGUGAGGAUUAGGAUUGUUCUCGCCCGUCGCCUAACCUAGCUCCUUCGGGAGCACCGGUGCGGCGGUCGCGGAACUAAACGAUCGGCAGUACACCUCAGCGGGAUCGGCGGCGGAUAUAGUGGCAACACCCAGUUGGAGUGGCGACGGCGGUCCUUAGGGUAGGGCCGUUCUAAAGUUGUCUAAGUAUGCUGAGACUUACAACAAGACAUUGACUACUGAGUUUUACUCGCAUGUGACUUUGACUUCGGAAACCUUCAACUCUGUCUUUGGAAUGAACUCUCGUCCGUCUCCGCGUCUCGGUCGCCAUACGAGAACCUAGUUAUAAGAUGUCCAAUUUGUUGUAAGUAUACAAGAUCGUAGAUAUCUAAAUGUAAACGAAAAAUUGUCAGAUUAAGAGGUACAUUUUUGACGUAGGUAAAACAAUAACACUAUGACGUUCACAUUUAAUUCCUUAAUCGGAAAUACCAGAUCGAAGCCAUAGACAUUUAGUACCAAUACAUGUAUGAUGUAUUUUUACCUCGUAGGAAUACGAUGGUUUAAUAAACAAACUAGACCGAACAUCCAAAGACUUAUGAGAUAACCUAAGAAGAUUCGACGACGAACAAGUAGCAAACGACAAAACGGAUAGUCCCUUCCAUUGAUGAUCUUCGUCAACCGUUCUGUUCGUAAGCUACCUCGAGUUUCGCAACUAGGACUUCCUUCCAUUGAUGAGUUUCCAUACGUGUAUAAGUAAAACCUCGUCAAUUCAAACGUUCCUAAACGACGACCUCCCGUACCAUACGCGAGAGUUCUUUAAGAAACACUAGGCCACUGUAGAAAACCGGAUAACUCCUUGACCUGUACUAAACAUAUAUCGCUUCAAGUCACAUACCUACUGUUGAAGGAGAGUAUAGAAAUCAGACAUAUAAAAUAUAUGUACCGAAAACAUAAAACAGGACACACAAGGACGACGUCUGAAAACAUCUCUUUAAGUGGUACCCUUAAAUUCAUUACCAAGGUGACGG
rnacentral:rRNA from 1 species